rnacentral:rRNA from 1 species
UACGUAGGGUGCAAGCGUUAAUCGGAAUUACUUGGGGCGUAAAGCGUGCGCAGGCGGUUAUGUAAGACAGAUGUGAAAUGCCCGGGCUUAACCUGGGAACUGGCAUUUGUGACUGCAUGGCUAGAGUUUGGCAGAGGGGGGUAGAAUUCCACGUGUGAGCAGUGAAAUGCGUAGAUAUGUGGAGGAACACCGAUGGCGAAGGCAGCCCCCUGGGUCA